UACAGAGGUCUCAAGCGUUUGUUCGGGAUUCAUUGGGCGUAAAGGGUGCGUAGGCGGCGCGGUAAGUCGGGUGUGAAAUUUCGAGGCUUAACUUCGAAACUGCAUUCGAUACUGCCGUGCUUGAGGACUGGAGAGGAGACUGGAAUUUACGGUGUAGCGGUGAAAUGCGUAGAUAUCGUAAGGAAGACCAGUGGCGAAGGCGGGUCUCUGGACAGUUCCUGACGCUGAGGCACGAAGGCCAGGGGAGCAAACGGGG
rnacentral:rRNA from 1 species